rnacentral:rRNA from 1 species
UACAGAGGGGGCAAGCGUUGUUCGGAUUUAUUGGGCGUAAAGAGCGUGUAGGCGGCCAGGUAGGUCUGCUGUGAAAACUCGAGGCUCAACCUCGAGAUGUCGGCGGAAACCAUCUGGCUAGAGUCCGGAAGAGGAAAGUGGAAUUCCCGGUGUAGCGGUGAAAUGCGCAGAUAUCGGGAAGAACACCCGUGGCGAAGGCGGCUUUCUGGGACGGUACUGACGCUGAGACGCGAAAGCGUGGGGAGCGAACAGG